rnacentral:rRNA from 1 species
UGGGGAAUUUUGGACAAUGGGGGCAACCCUGAUCCAGCGACGCCGCGUGGAGGACGAAGGUCUUCGGAUUGUAAACUCCUUUUGGAGGGGAAGAAUGCCUGAGUGAAAAACUCAGGGUGACGGUACUCUCUGAAUAAGCCACGGCUAACUACGUGCCAGCAGCCGCGGUAAUACGUAGGUGGCAAGCGUUACUCGGAAUCACUAGGCGUAAAGCGCAGGUAGGCGGUUUGGUAAGUCUGUUGUGAAAGCUCCCGGCUCAACUGGGAGAGGCCAACGGAAACUACCAGGCUAGAGUGUGGUAGAGGAAGCUAGAAUUCCCGGUGUAGCGGUGAAAUGCGUAGAUAUCGGGAGGAAUACCUAUGGCGAAAGCAGGCUUCUGGACCAUCACUGACGCUGAGCUGCGAAAGCUAGGGGAGCAAACAGGAUUAGAUACCCCCGUAGUCC